CCUUACCAAUGGGGCAGGGUGGUGCAGUGGGCAUCGCCUCAGGCUCUUGCAGCGGCAGCCAGCCCUGAGUUCAGAUCCCUCUCCUGGAACGUAGAAGCUGUGUAGCCUUGGGCAAGCUACUUUAGUUCUUUGACCCUGUUUCCUCAUCAGUAGGAGAGAAAUAAUAAUAAUAUCUACCUCCGAGGGAUGCUGUGAGUACCUGAAGAAAUAAAGCGGGUAAAGCUCCUGGAUGGUAAGGAGGAAACUGAAGCUCAGAGGAACGGAGGCAUUUGCCCAAGGUCACGCAGCCAGUCAGCAGCAGAGCAGCAGCCUGAACACAUCGCUCCUGGGCUCGGUCCUGCGCGGGGACAGGACAAGAAAGCCGCUCACGGGGACUCCUCUCAGAGACCAGCGUGGUCAGAGGAAGCCUUUGAAAAGUUUGUUGGCGUUGGGUAAAGGGCAGAAGCCCCAAGGGACACGCAAGCCCAUCUCAUAAACCGCCUUCUAAGGAGAGGUUUUGUUUUGCUAACUUCGGGGCCAGAGGAGAAGCCAACCAGACGGCUCCCGCACCCCUUUCUCCACCCUGUCCGUUGCAGGCCCAGUCCCUGCUCUAAAUUAACAUGGAGCACACCUUUGAAGAGUGCUGGUUUGAUCUGUUAGCCAGUCUGGGUCACCAAUAGGCUUGAUGAGGUCCCCCCUAGAAACUUAUCCCCCAACAUCUGUGCUCGCUUCUUCCUUUAGUAAUAAAACCACACAUGGCCAUCCAGAAUAGAGAGUACACUUCAUUGCAGCCAAGAGUGAUGACUACCAUAUGAUUACCCUCCAGCCAAUGGGAUACAGUACAAGAAGAGGCUUUCCAAGGCACUGACGUCUUAGCAAAUGAAGCUGAGACCAUCACAAGAUCCUAGACGCCAAGCCUUCUGCCAUGACCGCAUGUGACUCUUUGAGAUGUCUUCCUCGGAGGGGCCGGGGGGGAGGCGGAUGUAUUUGCAGUGCAGAUGGAAGAGAGGACGGGCGUGUCGCACGGGGCUCAGAAUGAGGAGACACGUGGAGCAGAGCCCAGCAGAACUGCGGUUGCAGCCGCUGACACUCACGAGAGCAAGACAUGCAUGUGUUGUACACCACGGAAACGUUAGGGGAGAAGGAUCAGCUGAGCUGCCGUUUCAGACCCCAGGCCUCCCCAGGGCCCGCUCCUGCGCCUCACGCUGGGAUUGCAACCUCUCUGAGUCAGCCCUGGCAAAGUACUGCUAAACAGCCUGCCUCGGGCCUCCGAAAGAAACCCUCCGCCACCAGAAACCACAAGAGCAGAAAACCCACAGCUUCAGAUGCUUUCGCCGGAGCUCGGAAAACUCACAACAAACGGCAAAUGCGUUGGUGCCGAUCUUAUCGAUGGAUGCCCUUCCUGUAAGACUGGAAAGAGAAAUUGGUCCAGUCUUCAAAGUCUGCCUGCUCUUGCCUGGACCGGACGACCUUGAACUUUCAGGAAGUCGCUGCUGUGUCAGAGGAGCCAGGAAGAUAGAAUUCACUCAGCAAUAUUUACCUCGAACCUGCAAGCUGCAAGACGCUAACAUGGGAAGUGAGAGCUUUUAAAAAGAAGUGUCCACACUCUGCCUUGGCCCCUUUGGUGGAGUGAAAUUCCUCCAUUCCUCCCUUAAUAGAAUGACAUGUCACGUGCCGUUUGCCUCACUCCUCCCUCGAGUGGGCAGAGUAAACUGUCCAGCAGCCUUGCGAUCGUAAGCAAAGGAAAAAGAGGGCAGAGGGAAAAGCUAGAUAGACCUGGUGCCUGAUGGCUGUGGGUCUCCCCCGCCAGCCCUGCGCUGCCCACCAUGAACUGGUUUUAAUGAGCGAGACAAGCAAACCAGUAUGUGCUUGAGUUUC
rnacentral:lncRNA from 1 species